UAUUUCCGUUAUUUCCGUUAUUUCUGUUAUUUCCGUUGUUGUUCUUGACCUGUCACUUAAUAUUCUGCCGUAUGUUUCUGUGUCUGUGGAGGUUAUUUCCGUAUUUGCCUUAUUUCCGUUAUUUUUUCCGUUAUUUCCGUUAUUAUUUCUGUUAUUUCAAUUAUUAUUACCCUUAUUUCGUUUUUUUCCUGUUAUCUCCGUUGUUGUUCUUGACUAGUCACCUAACUUUCUGCCGUAUGUUUCUGACUCUCUUGAGGUUAUUUCUGUUCUUUGCGUUCUUUGCGUUCUUUGCGUUCUUUGCGUUCUUUGCGUUCUUUCCGUU
rnacentral:lncRNA from 1 species